rnacentral:rRNA from 1 species
GACGUAGGAGGCGAGCGUUAUCCGGAUUCACUGGGCGUAAAGCGCAUGCAGGCGGUUGGAUAAGUCCGGUGUUAAAGCCCCUGGCUCAACUCGGGGAGGUCAUUGGAGACUAUAGGACUUGAGGGCAACAGAGGCACGUGGAACUCCCGGUGUAGCGGUGGAAUGCGUAGAGAUCGGGAAGAACACCAGUGGCGAAGGCGACGUGCUGGGCUGCAACUGACGCUGAGAUGCGAAAGUGUGGGGAGCAAAAGGG